rnacentral:rRNA from 1 species
CCAGCAGCCGCGGUAAUACGUAGGGUCCGAGCGUUGUCCGGGAAUUACUGGGCGUAAAGAGCUCGUAGGUGGUUUGUCGCGUUGUUCGUGAAAACUCACAGCUCAACUGUGGGCGUGCGGGCGAUACGGGCAGACUAGAGUACUGCAGGGGAGACUGGAAUUCCUGGUGUAGCGGUGGAAUGCGCAGAUAUCAGGAGGAACACCGGUGGCGAAGGCGGGUCUCUGGGCAGUAACUGACGCUGAGGAGCGAAAGCGUGGGGAGCGAACAGGAUUAGAUACCCUGGUAGUCCACGCCGUAAACGGUGGGUACUAGGUGUGGGUUUCCUUCCUUGGGAUCCGUGCCGUAGCUAACGCAUUAAGUACCCCGCCUGGGGAGUACGGCCGCAAGGCUAAAACUCAAAGAAAUUGACGGGGGCCCGCACAAGCGGCGGAGCAUGUGGAUUAAUUCGAUGCAACGCGAAGAACCUUACCUGGGUUUGACAUGCACAGGACGUGCCUAGAGAUAGGUAUUCCCUUGUGGCCUGUGUGCAGGUGGUGCAUGGCUGUCGUCAGCUCGUGUCGUGAGAUGUUGGGUUAAGUCCCGCAACGAGCGCAACCCUCGUCCUAUGUUGCCAGCGGGUUAUGCCGGGGACUCGUAGGAGACUGCCGGGGUCAACUCGGAGGAAGGUGGGGAUGACGUCAAGUCAUCAUGCCCCUUAUGUCCAGGGCUUCACACAUGCUACAAUGGCCGGUACAAAGGGCUGCGAUGCCGUGAGGUGGAGCGAAUCCUUUCAAAGCCGGUCUCAGUUCGGAUCGGGGUCUGCAACUCGACCCCGUGAAGUCGGAGUCGCUAGUAAUCGCAGAUCAGCAACGCUGCGGUGAAUACGUUCCCGGGCCUUGUACACACCGCCCGUCACGUCAUGAAAGUCGGUAACACCCG